CGUUGUCCGGAAUUACUGGGCGUAAAGAGCUCGUAGGUGGUUUGUCGCGUUGUUCGUGAAAACUCACAGCUCAACUGUGGGCGUGCGGGCGAUACGGGCAGACUGGAGUACUGCAGGGGAGACUGGAAUUCCUGGUGUAGCGGUGGAAUGCGCAGAUAUCAGGAGGAACACCGGUGGCGAAGGCGGGUCUCUGGGCAGUAACUGACGCUGAGGAGCGAAAGCGUGGGGAGCGAACAGG
rnacentral:rRNA from 1 species